UAGGGAAUUUUGCGCAAUGGACGAAAGUCUGACGCAGCGACGCCGCGUGAGGGAUGAAGGUCUUCGGAUUGUAAACCUCUGUUGAGUGGGAAGAAAACGUUUGCGGGUAAUAUCCGCAGACUUUGACGGUACCGCUCGAGGAAGCCCCGGCUAACUACGUGCCAGCAGCCGCGGUAAUACGUAGGGGGCAAGCGUUGUUCGGAAUUACUGGGCGUAAAGGGAGUGUAGGCGGGAAGGUAAGUUAGAAGUUAAAGCAUCAGGCUUAACCUGAAAUCUGCUUUUAAGACUGCCUUUCUUGAAUAUGGGAGAGGGUGAUGGAAUUCCAGGUGUAGCGGUGGAAUGCGUAGAUAUCUGGAAGAACACCAGCUGCGAAGGCGGUCACCUGGCCCAAUAUUGACGCUGAGGCUCGAAAGCUAGGGGAGCAAACAGG
rnacentral:rRNA from 1 species